CCCUUAGAUGUUCUGGGCCGCACACGCGCUACACUGAAGGAGGCAGCGUGUACUCCUGGAUCGAAAGAUUUGGGUAACCCGCGAAUCUCCUUCGUGCUAGGGCUUGAGGUUUGCAAUUAUCCUUCAUGAACGAGGAAUUCCCAGUAAGUGCAAGUCAUAAGCUUGCGCUGACUACGUCCCUGCCCUUUGUACACACCGCCCGUCGCUACUACCGAUUGAAUGAUUUAGUGAGGACUUCGGACUGGGACCGAUGCGGCUUUCGGGCUGCGUCGGUAUUCUGGAAAGAUGUCCAAACUGUAUCAUUUAGAGGAAGUAAAAGUCGUAACA
rnacentral:rRNA from 1 species